UUAACUCAAAUUUGUUUGUAGGAACGUUUGCCUGCGUUUGCCGCUAGGGGCGCUGUUCCAACUGCAUACAAAUUUGAGUUA
rnacentral:pre_miRNA from 1 species